rnacentral:rRNA from 1 species
AUUGAACGCUGGCGGCAGGCCUAACACAUGCAAGUCGAGCGGAUGUCGGGAGCUUGCUCCUUGAUUCAGCGGCGGACGGGUGAGUAAUGCCUAGGAAUCUGCCUGGUAGUGGGGGACAACGUUUCGAAAGGAACGCUAAUACCGCAUACGUCCUACGGGAGAAAGCAGGGGACCUUCGGGCCUUGCGCUAUCAGAUGAGCCUAGGUCGGAUUAGCUAGUAGGUGAGGUAAUGGCUCACCUAGGCGACGAUCCGUAACUGGUCUGAGAGGAUGAUCAGUCACACUGGAACUGAGACACGGUACAGACUCCUACGGGAGGCAGCAGUGGGGAAUAUUGGACGAUGGGCGAAAGCCUGAUCCAGCCAUGCCGCGUGUGUGAAGAAGGUCUUCGGAUUGUAAAGCACUUUAAGUUGGGAGGAAGGGCAGUAAGUUAAUACCUUGCUGUUUUGACGUUACCGACAGAAUAAGCACCGGCUAACUCUGUGCCAGCAGCCGCGGUAAAAC